CUGAAAAGUGUUUCGACAUUUUUUUCUUGAAAAAAAAAAUGAACGUGAAAUACCAGAAGUGCGCCUCCCCUCACGGACGAUCCUGUCCCUUCUCGGGCAGGAGACGUGUCCGCAUGUGAGCCGUCGGAUGGGCGAGGCCUCCGUCGAGCCAUCUCGUUCGUGUUAAAAUGGGCGUCCUCGCACGGCCGCACACGAGGGAACCCUAGAAUUCGCAGGCUCGCACAAGAAGUGAACUUUCUCUCUCUUCUCUGUCUCUUUCUCUCUCCUACUCCUUCCCCUCUGUGUCCAGAGAGCCGCCGGAGACUUCGCUUGUAUCGCCGGAAAACGCCAUUUUGCGGGCGGUCCGGUAGAGACGACAAAGCAAGAGGACCCACCCGGCGCCGCCGGAUCUUGCCGGGGGACCUCGGGCUCCGGCCGGAGAUUUCUCGAAGUCGCCGGAUUUAGGCCGGCCGGGGCGCGAGGACAGGGAGGGUUUCCCCGAGGCAGGGAAGAAUCAGACGGGAGAAUGGCGGCCUCAAGGAGUUAGUGCUCGCCGGAAAAGUAGGUGACCGGCGGGAAUUGGGAAACGGCGGAGUGGGAGAAUUGCAGCCUUGCAGGGACGGCUAUCUUGCAGGUUAGGCUUUCGGCUGCUCACCUGGUUCUUGUUCUUGAUGUUCUGAGGUUUUGACUGAACGCUGGAGAGCUGAUCUCGUUUACCGGCUGGAGGACCGCUGGCGGUGGAGAGAAAAAUCUGACUGUCGGGGGUGGAAUUAAAGAAGAUCAGAAAGGGGGGAAGCUUGUGGGGGAAUUGAAUUUCCGAACGUCGAGCUUCCUGCUCCUGCCUGAAUGCGUCUUUGCGAAGAGGUGAGCCGUCUUUGAACCUUUGCCGGAUUUCUCUCCGGGAAUUUAGUGCAGAUCAAAGAAACCUUAUUUAUGGUCGAAGGAGCAGAUUUUGAGCUCGGAAACCCCCUAGUUUGCUGAAUGCCUUUCCAGGCAACCACCAAAACCCUAUUUUUCGCCUUUGUUUCUUCUUUUGAACUAUAAUUUCGAUUACCAGAACUCGAAGUAGAUUCAAAACUCAAAUCUUUAAGAUCAAACUGAAAGCUAGCUCCAAUCGGGGUUUCCGUACACGUUACCUGACACCUGAUGGGCUCGAAGUUUUCCACAAAAAUCCGGUAGAGGGCGACUGGUGGCAAGGAAGAAUGGCGCAAGAAAUGGAUAAAUUAGGUGGAGUAGCAGGGAUGGUGGACGACGAGGAGGACGACGACGAAGAGGAAGAGGACGACGACAUGGACAUGGGGGUGAAGGAAGAGGAAGACGAGGACGACGACGAAGACGGGGUGGAGAGGAAGAAGAGGAUGAUGAUGAUGGGGAUGGAAGGGGUGAGCGGGCCACCAGGGCAGCAGCACCACCAUUUCCAGCAGCUGCAGAUACAGCAGGGCGUCGGGGUUGGGCUGGUUCAAGGCGGUGGAGGGGCGGUUCAGGUCGGCGGUGGUGGUGGAGGGAUGGUGAUGAGGAGGAGCAGGCCGAAGGAGGAGAAGGAGCGAACGAAACUUAGGGAAAGACACCGGCGGGCCAUCACGGCGAGGAUUCUGUCGGGGCUCCGGCGGCACGGCAACUACAACCUCCGGGUGCGGGCGGACAUCAACGACGUCAUCGCGGCCCUGGCUCGGGAGGCCGGCUGGAUGGUGCUGCCCGACGGCACCACCCUCCCACCUCCCACCAGAUCCCCUCAUAACACGCGGUCCCCGGCUCCUGCUCCGACGGUCCCGACGACGCCUCUCAUGGUAGCCUCGCAGUCGCCGCCCGCAUCGUCUCUCAGAGGAGCGUCCGGCUUCAGGAGCUCGGUCGAAUACCGGCCGUGCCGAUUGAAGGGCGUCUUCACGCCAACUGCAGCCUCUUCCUUCGAUGGUUCUUCUGGUGGUAGGACCCGACCUGGAGCAGGAAUAGGGGACGGAGGGGAUCAUUCCUCUUCGCUGGGAAGCUGCUUUCCGGGUGACGAUAAGCAGGUGGUGGACCUACCUGCAAGGGUUAAGGAGCGUGAUUUUGCUGGGACUCCUUGUGUUCCAGUUUAUGUGAUGCUGCCUCUUGGAGUCAUCAAUUUGAAGUGUGAGCUGGUAGAUCCUGAUGGCCUAGUUAAGCAUCUGAAAGCAUUGAAAUCUGCUAAUGUUGAUGGUGUUAUGGUUGAUUGCUGGUGGGGAAUUGUGGAAGCUCACUCACCACAGAAGUACAAUUGGCAUGGUUAUAAAAGGCUAUUCCAGAUUAUACAUGAGCUGAAUCUUAAAUUGCAGGUGGUGAUGUCCUUUCAUGAAUGUGGAGGUAAUGUUGGCGAUGAUGUGUGCAUUCCUUUGCCUCAUUGGAUAGUAGAAAUUGGAAGGUCAAAUCCUGACAUAUUUUUCACGGAUCGUGAGGGAAGGCGCAAUCCUGAGUGCCUAUCUUGGGGAAUUGACAAAGAAAGGGUUUUAAGAGGUAGAACUGCAGUCGAGGUUUACUUUGACUACAUGAGAAGUUUCCGUGUGGAAUUUGAUGAGUUUUUUGAGGCUGGCAUCAUUUCCGAGAUUGAAAUUGGUUUAGGUCCCUGUGGAGAGCUGCGCUAUCCAUCUUAUCCUAUACGGCAUGGUUGGAGAUAUCCCGGAAUUGGGGAAUUCCAGUGCUAUGAUCAAUACUUGUUGAAAAGUUUGAGGAAGGCUGCCGAGAAGAGGGGUCACUCUUUCUGGGCAAGAGGACCAGAUAAUGCAGGAACAUAUAAUUCACAGCCACAUGAAACUGGAUUCUUCUGUGAUGGAGGUGAUUAUGACAGCUAUUAUGGAAGAUUCUUCCUUGCUUGGUAUUGUCAAGUUUUGAUAGAUCAUGCGGACCGUGUGCUCUCUCUUGCAAGGCUGGCUUUUGAAGGCACCUGCAUUGCAGUAAAGCUAUCUGGUAUUCAUUGGUGGUAUAAAACUGCAAGCCAUGCUGCUGAGUUGACCGCUGGUUUCUAUAACCCUUGCAAUCGCGACGGCUAUGCCCCAAUAGCACAGAUGCUGAAGAACCAUAAUGCUACACUUAAUUUUACAUGUGUAGAAUUGCGCACAUUGGACCACCACGAGGACUUUCCAGAGGCAUUGGCAGACCCUGAAGGAUUGGUCUGGCAAGUGCUGAAUGCUGCAUGGGAUGUCAACAUCCAGGUCGCUAGUGAAAAUGCUCUGCCGUGUUAUGAUAGAGAUGGUUAUAAUAAGAUUUUGGAGAAUGCAAAGCCUCUAAAUAAUCCUGAUAGAAGGCAUUUAUCCGCAUUUACCUACCUCAGACUCGGGCCAGCUUUGAUGGAGAGACACAAUUUCUUGGAAUUUGAGCGCUUUGUGAAGAGAAUGCAUGGCUUAGCAACAAACUGAGGAGAGCUCAGGGUCUAGCUGGGUGGCAGUUGCUUGAAUGCUUACAGUGAUCCCGAUCGCUGAUACUACAGAAAGUAUUGUUGUAAGCCGGCGUUUGCAACCAACUGGAAGGAGAUGGGAAAUACUCACAUAAACCGCGUCUUGGGGAUUUUUUUUUUCUUGCUUUUCUUUCCACAUUUUGCCUGUUCACCGCCGUUCCCUCUUACGAGGCUGUGUACUUGUAAGUGUAAGAAAGAUACUGUAUUUGAGAAACUUUAUUUCAGCCAUUUUGUAAAGAAAAAAUUGCAAUUUCAAUAGAAAAAUUUUACUUAUUCU